GGGGAAUAUUGCACAAUGGGCGAAAGCCUGAUGCAGCAACGCCGCGUGAGUGAAGAAGGUUUUCGGAUUGUAAAGCUCUGUCAUCUGGGACGAUAAUGACGGUACCAGAUGAGGAAGCCACGGCUAACUACGUGCCAGCAGCCGCGGUAAUACGUAGGUGGCAAGCGUUGUCCGGAAUUACUGGGCGUAAAGGGUGCGCAGGCGGACAUUUAAGUGAGAUGUGAAAGACCCGGGCUUAACUUGGGCAGUGCAUCUCAAACUGGAUGUCUGGAGUGCAGGAGAGGAGAACGGAAUUCCUAGUGUAGCGGUGAAAUGCGUAGAGAUUAGGAAGAACACCAGUGGCGAAGGCGGUUCUCUGGACUGUAACUGACGCUGAGGCACGAAAGCGUGGGUAGCAAAC
rnacentral:rRNA from 1 species